GUGCGCCGCCCGUUCACAACGGAUCGUCCGGCACGUUCCUGCCGGUGAGCGCUAAGGAAAC
rfam:Dermacoccus nishinomiyaensis strain M25, complete genome.